rnacentral:rRNA from 1 species
ACUCCUACGGGAGGCAGCAGUGGGGAAUAUUGCACAAUGGGCGCAAGCCUGAUGCAGCCAUGCCGCGUGUAUGAAGAAGGCCUUCGGGUUGUAAAGUACUUUCAGCGUGGAGGAAGGCGAUAAGGUUAAUAACCUUGUUGAUUGACGUUACCCGCAGAAGAAGCACCGGCUAACUCCGUGCCAGCAGCCGCGGUAAUACGGAGGGUGCAAGCGUUAAUCGGAAUUACUGGGCGUAAAGCGCACGCAGGCGGUCUGUCAAGUCGGAUGUGAAAUCCCCGGGCUCAACCUGGGAACUGCAUUCGAAACUGGCAGGCUAGAGUCUUGUAGAGGGGGGUAGAAUUCCAGGUGUAGCGGUGAAAUGCGUAGAGAUCUGGAGGAAUACCGGUGGCGAAGGCGGCCCCCUGGACAAAGACUGACGCUCAGGUGCGAAAGCGUGGGGAGCAAACAGGAUUAGAAACCCCGGUAGUCCCAUG